rnacentral:tRNA from 1 species
GCCUGGGUGGCUCAGUCAGUUAAGCGUCUGACUUCGACUCAGGUCAUGAUCUCACAGUCUGUGAGUUCGAGCCCCGCGUCAGGCU